rnacentral:tRNA from 1 species
UUAAUUGAAGCCAAAAUAGAGGCCUUUCAUUGUUAAUGAAACCAUUGAUUAUAAAAUCCAAUUAAA